UUGAGGUUUUGCUUCUCUCCUGAUUAGU
rnacentral:piRNA from 1 species